UCCACUCAGUGAUCAGUACUAAACACAGAGGACUCACCAUGGAGUUUGGGCUGAGCUGGAUUUUCCUUGUUGCUAUUUUAAAAGGUGUCCAGUGUGAGGUGCAGCUGGUAGAGUCUGGGGGAGGCUUGGUACAGCCUGGCCGGUCCCUGAGACUUUCCUGUGCAGCCUCUGGAUUCACUUUCAGUAGCUAUGGCAUGCACUGGGUCCGCCAGGCUCCGGAAAAGGGGCUGGAGUGGGUUUCAUACAUUGGUAGUAGUACCAUGUACUAUGCAGACUCUGUGAAGGGCCGAUUCACCAUCUCCAGAGACAAUGCCAAGAACUCGCUGUAUCUGCAAAUUAACAGCCUGAGAGCCGAGGACACGGCUGUGUAUUACUGUGCGAGGACAUGCCUUAGCAGCUAUAGGUACAUCAAUGGGACCACCAACUACAACCCGUCCCUCAAGAGUCGAGUCACCAUUUCAAUAGACACGUCCAAGAACCAGUUCUCCCUGAAGCUGAGCUCUGUGACCGCCGCGGACACGGCCGUGUAUUACUGUGCGAGAGACACAGUGAGGGGAGCCCUUGACUGUGUCAUUGCAUCUGACAGUCCCAGGGAAGAGACUCUCUGGUGGUUUCAUAGAAUCUGUGCUUGGGCUCUCCCUGCAGUUUACUGGCAGCAUUGGGAGAAGAUGCUCUGUGAGCCCAAACAGCACCCUCCCCUGCAGGGUGAGGACAGAGCUGCAGAGCAGGCCCAGAACCCACUCAACACAGAUGUCAGCCCUGGAGCUGCUGCAGAGGAGUCUGAGGGGAAAAUUUUUUCCAGCACCUGA